rnacentral:rRNA from 1 species
AUUGAACGCUGGCGGCAGGCCUAACACAUGCAAGUCGAGCGGAUGAAGGGAGCUUGCUCCUGGAUUCAGCGGCGGACGGGUGAGUAAUGCCUAUGAAUCUGCCUGGUAGUGGGGGAUAACGUCCGGAAACGGGCGCUAAUACCGCAUACGUCCUGAGGGAGAAAGUGGGGGAUCUUCGGACCUCACGCUAUCAGAUGAGCCUAGGUCGGAUUAGCUAGUUGGUGGGGUAAAGGCCUACCAAGGCGACGAUCCGUAACUGGUCUGAGAGGAUGAUCAGUCACACUGGAACUGGGACAGGGUCCAGACUCCUACGGGAGGCAGCAGUGGGGAAUAUUGGACAAUGGGCGAAAGCCUGAUCCAGCCAUGCCGCGUGUGUGAAGAAGGUCUUCGGAUUGUAAAGCACUUUAAGUUGGGAGGAAGGGCAGUAAGUUAAUACCUUGCUGUUUUGACGUUACCAACAGAAUAAGCACCGGCUAACUUCGUG